GUUAAUUUCCUACUGUGAUUCAUUAAGAGAAAAACCAUGAUUUAAUUGAGCGCGCCUACUUAGCGGUAAUAAAAUCGAUUUAUAAACGCAAAACGAUAUCUCGUUACCGGUUUUUCAAAACACAAAAGGUUAGUCACGAAAAUGUUUGUUUUGGUUAGAAUUGUGUAUAAUCAAACAGUAAUGUUACAUUCGUUUUUCAUUCAAAGAAGAAUGACUUAAGAAUACCUCAGGAUUAUUUAAUGCCCCUUGGCUGUCACUACUUUAGGUUAUUAACUGUAAAGUUUGGCAGUGUCAAAUUAUAAAAUUAAAUUUGUUGCAUGCAGAUAAACUACUAAAAAUGAUUGAUUGAACUACUAAAAUCGAACCCAGCUCCUAGUUCAUUACUUCAUCCAUCAUCGAAUGCUGAACGUAGUGUCACCUCAAUUACUGUGGCGAGAUCUCAUUUGGGUACGAAUUAAAAAAAAAUGGUUCAUUACAUUUUUUCUUACCUUGCGGCUGGGGGUUCGCCCCCGGAGCCGCUGUAACCUUGCUGUGGGCCGUCGUGGUUGCUGAGCUGCUGCAAUCUGUAUUGGAAAUAGCCUCGCCGCUAUCACCAUUACCUUCCUGCGACCAGGCUUUACGCUGCAAUAGCAUUUUGGAAACAAAAUCGACUAAUUAAAAAAUCAUAAAUGACA